rnacentral:rRNA from 1 species
CCUACGGGAGGCAGCAGUGAGGAAUAUUGGUCAAUGGGCGUAAGCCUGAACCAGCCAAGUCGCGUGAGGGAUGAAGGUUCUAUGGAUCGUAAACCUCUUUUAUAGGGGAAUAAAGUGUGGGACGUGUCCUAUUUUGUAUGUACCUUAUGAAUACGGAUCGGCUAACUCGGUGCCAGCAGCCGCGGUAAUCCGGAGGAUCCGAGCGUUAUCCGGAUUUUGUGGGUUUAAAGGGUGCGUAGGCGGCCUUUUAAGUCAGCGGUGAAAGUCUGUGGCUCAACCAUAGAAUUGCCGUUGAAACUGGGGAGCUUGAGUAUGUUUGAGGCAGGCGGAAUGCGUGGUGUAGCGGUGAAAUGCUUAGAUAUCACGCAGAACCCCGAUGGCGAAGGCAGCCUGCCAGGCCAUGACUGACGCUGAUGCACGAAAGCGUGGGGAUCAAACAGGAUUAGAUACCCUAGUAGUC